rnacentral:rRNA from 1 species
GACGAACGCUGGCGGCGUGCCUAAUACAUGCAAGUCGAACGCAGUGGGGACGGGUGCGUAACACGUGGGUAACCUCCCAUCAGAGGGGAUAACACUUGGAAACAGGUGCUAAACCGAUACUGAUGGAUGGACCCGCGGUGCAUUAGCUAGUUGGUGAGGUAACGGCUCACAAAGGCCACGAGGCUUAGCCGACCUGGGAGGGUGUGCGGCCACACGAGGACUGAGACACGGCCCAUACUCAUACGGGAUGCAGCAGUAGGGAAUUGUCGGCAAUGGACGAAAGUCUGACCGAGCAACGCCGCGUGAGUGAAGAAGGUUUUCGGAUCGUAAAACUCUGUUGUUAGAGAAGCGGUAUAUAACCAGAAAGCCACGGCUAACUACGUGCCAGAAGCCGCGGAAAUUC